rnacentral:sRNA from 2 species
CCAGGCCACCAAGUCGAAUUACUGUGGGGUAAAAGUUUGGGUUACGGCCCGCUUCGGAAGUCCACUUUGCCCAUAUCUGGACCAGAUAUCAAAUCAUUCUCUGUGCUUGAUUCCUGAGGAUGGGAGUUGGAAUGAAUCUUCCGCACACAGCAUCAAUUGCUGCUCCCGCAGCGCCGCCAUCCAUGGACAUGAUAUUUCGACGGCUAAUAGUAAUUAAUCAUCGUAAUUGGCCUUACUGGUUUUCAACGAAGCUGGGUAGUAACCCCUCUUACCCCGCCAAUAACCUCCGGUUCUGGCUAGUGGAUGCAAGCUAUCAUUUAUACAAACAAUAUCUGGCGACAAAUGAUGGGCAGAAUAUGGUAGACACCCGGCAACCCUCAUUCAAACAAGCAGGGCUAGAUGCAGGCAGGCAGUUGCCAACAAGCACUGAAGCACUGGAUAUUCUUAUUCUUUGCCAUUUUGGUCUGAACCUUCACCAC